GUGAGGAAUUUUCCGCAAUGGGCGAAAGCCUGACGGAGCAAUGCCGCGUGAAGGAUGAAGGCCUAUGGGUUGUAAACUUCUUUUCUCAGAAAAGAAUUAUGACGGUAUCUGAGGAAUAAGCAUCGGCUAACUCUGUGCCAGCAGCCGCGGUAAGACAGAGGAUGCAAGCGUUAUCCGGAAUGAUUGGGCGUAAAGCGUCUGUAGGUUGUUUAAAAAGUAUUCUGUCAAAGAUUAGGGCUUAACCCUAGAUAGGCAGAAUAAACUUUUAAGCUAGAGUUUGGUAGAGGCAGAGGGAAUUCCCGGUGGAGCGGUGAAAUGCGUAGAUAUCGGGAGGAACACCAAAGGCGAAGGCACUCUGCUGGGCCAAUACUAACACUGAGAGACGAAAGCGAGGGGAGCAAAUGAGAUUAGAAACCCUGGUAGUCC
rnacentral:rRNA from 1 species